rnacentral:rRNA from 1 species
UACGGAGGGUGCGAGCGUUGUUCGGAAUCACUGGGCGUAAAGCGCGUGUAGGCGGCCCACUAAGUCUGAUGUGAAAGCCCGGGGCUCACCCCCGGAAGUGCAUUGGAAACUGGUGGACUAGAGUCCCGGAGAGGAGAGUGGAAUUCCUGGUGUAGCGGUGAAAUGCGUAGAUAUCAGGAGGAACACCGGUGGCGAAGGCGGGUCUCUGGGCCGAUACUGACACUGAGGAGCGAAAGCGUGGGGAGCGAACAGG